rnacentral:rRNA from 1 species
UACAGAGGGUGCGAGCGUUGUCCGGAAUCACUGGGCGUAAAGGGCGCGUAGGUGGCAGGGUAAGCGUGCGGUGAAAGCCCGGAGCGUCAACUCCGGGUCGGCCGUGCGAACUGCUUUGCUCGAGCACUGUAGAGGCAGGUGGAAUUCCGGGUGUAGCGGUGAAAUGCGUAGAUAUCUGGAGGAACACCAGUGGCGAAAGCGCGUGACUGGGCCAUAACUGACGCUGAGGAACGAAAGCCAGGGUAGCGAAAGGG